rnacentral:rRNA from 1 species
AUUGAACGCUGGCGGCAUGCUUUACACAUGCAAGUCGAACGGUAACAGGUCUUCGGAUGCUGCCGAGUGGCGAACGGGUGAGUAAUACAUCGGAACGUGCCUAGUAGUGGGGGAUAACUACUCGAAAGAGUAGCUAAUACCGCAUGAGAUCUACGGAUGAAAGCAGGGGACCUUCGGGCCUUGUGCUACUAGAGCGGCUGAUGGCAGAUUAGGUAGUUGGUGGGGUAAAGGCUUACCAAGCCUGCGAUCUGUAGCUGGUCUGAGAGGACGACCAGCCACACUGGGACUGAGACACGGCCCAGACUCCUACGGGAGGCAGCAGUGGGGAAUUUUGGACAAUGGGCGAAAGCCUGAUCCAGCAAUGCCGCGUGCAGGAUGAAGGCCCUCGGGUUGUAAACUGCUUUUGUACGGAACGAAAAGCCUGGGGCUAAUAUCCCCGGGUCAUGACGGUACCGGAAGAAUAAGCACCGGCUAACUACGUG